rnacentral:rRNA from 1 species
UGGGGAAUAUUGGACAAUGGGCGAAAGCCUGAUCCAGCAAUGCCGCGUGAGUGAUGAAGGCCUUAGGGUUGUAAAGCUCUUUUACCAGGGAUGAUAAUGACAGUACCUGGAGAAUAAGCUCCGGCUAACUCCGUGCCAGCAGCCGCGGUAAUACGGAGGGAGCUAGCGUUGUUCGGAAUUACUGGGCGUAAAGCGCACGUAGGCGGCUACUCAAGUCAGAGGUGAAAGCCCAGGGCUCAACCUUGGAACUGCCUUUGAAACUAGGUAGCUAGAAUCUUGGAGAGGUCAGUGGAAUUCCGAGUGUAGAGGUGAAAUUCGUAGAUAUUCGGAAGAACACCAGUGGCGAAGGCGACUGACUGGACAAGUAUUGACGCUGAGGUGCGAAAGCGUGGGGAGCAAACA